rnacentral:rRNA from 1 species
UACGAGGGGUGCAAGCGUUGCUCGGAAUUAUUGGGCGUAAAGGGUAGGUAGGUGGUCUCAUUUGUCUGGGGUGAAAGCCUCGAGCUUAACUCAAGAAGUGCCCCAGAAACGGUGAGACUAGAGUUCUGGAGAGGGUCGUGGAAUUCCCGGUGUAGCGGUGAAAUGCGUAGAGAUCGGGAGGAAGACCAGAGGCGAAGGCGGCGACCUGGACAGAUACUGACACUCAACUACGAAAGCGUGGGGAGCAAACAGG